UGUUCUCCCCGCACUCCACCUCGAUGCAAGGCUCUCCGUUGUCAAAGAAGGGCUGGAAAUCCGGGAUGGAGGAAAACCUCUCCAGCAUCAGGAAUCCAGCACAGAUGCUGCACGUGCCAUCUCUGGCACCACUGGGCCUCUGCCUGAACUAAGCUAAAGGAAGAUCCAGCAUUCUGUCAGCACAGCUGCACCUACAGCACUGGCCUUGCUGCCCUUGUCAUAGCAGGUCUGUAGCAUGAGUUUCUUACAGUCCACAACUGACUAUGCCAGCAAAGCUCUGUCCUGCACACUGAAACACUUCAGAAAAUAAACCAGGUCUUUCAACAACUGGUAUAGCAUCCCGUGAAUCCAGUAUCCAGUGAAUCGUGUUGUCGUUCCCCCUGAAGAAGUUGGGGUGUUUAUAGCCUUUUAAGACUGCAAGUUAGCAGCUCCCCUCCCCACUUCCCUCUCUUUCCACAGAAUUCCCUGACACUUAUCACACCAGUGAGGAGAAGCAGCAAUCCCUCUCCCUACCAAGUUGCUGCACCUACCAAAACACAGGGGAGGAGACCACAGAGCCACCACACUCACACCUUCCUCAGCCUCUUCCAUAGUCUCAGAGGACAUCAGGACUGUCUAACAGCCAGGAUUCACUGCUUUUUGCCUUCUAUUCCUUGCCAGGUGCAGCCCAGCUCUGUGCUCCCUGCCUGGGAACAGCAGCCCUGCUGCCGGAGUCACGCUCAGCAGGACUGGGAUUGAGGUAAUAGCAGCCUCAGGCCAGACUGCUUCAUUAGGAGAGAGGUUCUGACAGCCCAGCAGCAGGAGCAACAGCAGGGAGGGCACAGGUGGGUGUUCAGGGGAGGAGGGUUGGGAAGGAGGACCUUGGAAAGGGCUUUGCCUCUGAAAAAAAACACGCUUUCUCAGGAACUGCUGGGCUGUACUCUUGUUAAUCCCACUGAUUCAGAACACUGCCUUUUAUUGCAGUGAAAAAGGAGCACCAUGGAACUGAGGUUUUUUCGGCUUUUCUAGAAAGCAGUGUCAGGGUAUGGGCUUACACACAAACCAGAGCUGUAAACUGCAUGCACCUCUAUCUGAUGCAGGCGUUCUGUCUGCCUCCAGGAGGACGGCCUGGGACAGUCAGUGGUGGCUUAAGAAACUCUCUUCUUAUCAAACUAUAUUCACAAAAUGCCUCUUCCAAAUCACGUUCCUUACCAGCGCCCUGUACAGCUUUGUGACCAGUCUAAGCAGAUCAGAACUCAGAGAAAUAGAGGAAUUAAAACGUCUGUCGGGGAGAAAGUUUUAUUUUGGAGGCAAGGGCUCCAAUUCUAAACUAGCUGCUCCGUUCUCCUAAAUAAUGAAUAACUUCCCGUGCAGGGAACACACUGUUCUCUCUCCCAGCUGGUGCAGGGGUUAUGCUGUGCUGUCAAACAAUCACCUGGCCUGUGGCUCAGAGACCUCUGCACGCUGCUACACACGCACACUCCACAAGAAACAGCUUAAAUUAAAAGGGCACAAACCUAUUUCCAUUAAAACCAAUGGCAGUUUUUUACUGACUUCACUCUUCAGUGUCUAGUCCCCCGUAAUACAGCACGAGGUAUUGCCCUUCUCUGCAAAGGUUUUAGAAAACAAGUUUAGUUACACUCAAGCGAUGCCUCCACAAUGUAAAAAAAAAAUCAUUUACAGAAAUCACCAAUGGAAUCAAAAGUAUCAAAGCUGCUGUUACAGUAACUGUUCUCUGACCCUUUAAGGCAAGAGCUGCCUUCUUUGCAGCUCCAGUCACUGGGCAGCUCCCAUGUCCUUCUCUCUGCAUUAACUACACUUCUUUGUGCAUACUGCAAUUAAAAAUGCAUCUUCCUCCCCUUUUCCUCCCUCCCCAGAGGUUAUUUAUUGCUAAUUUGUAACCAUUGUGAAAUACUUGAGAUAUCAGAGUUGUAAUGCAGAAGAAAUCAUCCACCAGACUCUCCUUUUUCCUAAAGCCUUUGUGCUACUCUGCUCCACUGCUAAGAAAAACUCCCCCGUGUCAAAAGAUGCUGAAAUGAUGGUCAGAUUGUAUUUAUCUAAAGCUUGGCUUUGUCCCAGCACUCCUUCCUAACUCCACUUCCCCAACUUCCUGCCUGCCUUUCCUCCUGCAAUUAUAGUGACAAAAGGGAACACUGAAAACCCGACUAUCCAGGAAUAUCUGUGUACGGCUGGAAUCUAUUGCUGGGUUAUGACAACGGAAAAUGAGUGACCACUGAAAAGCAGAUAACAUCAGGUGUGCCCUCCUCACAUCAAAAAAUAAUCCCUUAACUCACAGGUUCACACAAACACGUGUGCACAGAGCCCCUUUUUCAGGUGAGACAGAGGAACCUUCUUAACUAAUUCUCUGGAAGUGAUGUGUCACAAGAGCCCAGUGCAGUCAAGGUGUGACUGCUUUUAAUACGUGCUAGGAAGGUCAAAUUAAAGACUAGGUAGAACCUGCCUUGACCAAUUUAGGAGGUGCUGAAGUGCAUACUUGCAGCUUCCAAACACCUUAAUUAGAGCCAGCAUAUCCUAAAGUCUUUAAAGCAUUGGGUAUCUCUGCAGAGAGGUUUUGUCUUGUUAUAAUUCUCCUGUUUUCUAGAAACUGGUCUAGUGUAGUCAGUGCCCUGGUAAUGAUGGGAUUAGCAUACACCACCUCUCCACUGGCAUAACUGCACCCCACUAGGAAGCUGUGCAAAUUCCUCCAGGAAUUUUUCUGAACAAUUAUUGUUACAGCAACGGGAAGCUUUCUGUACAGACAGGCCCUGCUCAGAGCUGUGUCCAUAAUGCACUUUCAGGGACAACUGCAGCAAGUGUCCACCUGCCAAAGUGUCCACAGCUAAAUCUCACUAAAUUCAGGCUGCUGCUCUGAGGAGACAUCCCACAGGAGCUCCACCAACAUGGACCUGUGUUUCUGCAGGGGAUUCUCCCUGAAAUUUGUGCUGCAGUGGUUUCAUGGUCAAUGCUGAUGCAGGAAGGCAGUCACAACUUCAGCAUCACUGUGACCCCAACUCUUACAUGGUCCCUUUUGCACAUACAUCAUAUUUGAAUAAAACAUACCCAAGGACAUCCCUACAGUCACAGGCAUGAGCAGAGUCUCCAGGGAACUCACAGAGACAAAUGCACAUGGACAUCUUUGUACUCCUCAUUCAUGCUUCCAUCAUUCUGAGUAACUUCUGGGUCAGGACCACAUGAAGGUUUGUCUUGUUUGGGUUUGGUUUAGUUUUCUUCUAAAUCCCACAUUCCUAUAAAAACAGCUCCCUUGUUCAUGUAAACUUGUUGCCAUGACUACACUGCAACAGAAGGCUUUAAUCAAACAGAAACUUAGACAAGGUGUAAGAAAGGGACAACAAAAACAAAACAAAAGGAAUUUCAAAAUAAAAAACCUGUAAAUAAGUCGUUUAUACAUUUGAAUCUUAUGGUGAUUUGAGUUUCUUGGAGAAGAGCAACUUUUCUGCUCCUUCACAGCCAUCACAGUGUGCUUGUGGGCAGAGAAGCUGCUGCUGCAACUAUUUACCACCAAGUUUUAUUUGUUUGUCAGGCUUCCAGACUUGAACUUUUCUACAUGUGGACUCAGGCAUUCUGACUUCUGCUUCUGCCUAUUUAUUUUGCUUCACUAUGUGACUGCAGCAAUUCACCCACUGACUUCAAACUCACAAACCAGAGCAAACAUCUCUGUAAAGCAGAGCUGGGAAGCACAACUCCUCAGGUGCUCCUCAGUCAUUUCAUCUCAUAUUAUAGAUUCCCAGAGCUCUGUUUUUCUCAAGUUCAAUAAUUCAAUCACUGAGCAAAACCAGGUAAUUGUGAGCCAUAACACACCACAAGUGGCAAAGGCAGAAAUGUCAGAGCAAGCAGUUUACAAGUAAUUUUAAUGCCUGAUGCCUAAAAUUGUUCAUCUAAACUCUUUUGACAAAUACUUACAAAUAACUGUUUUGUUCACAGCAGGAGAGAAGGAUUUUGUUUGUUACACAUCUUGCUUGCCAAAACUACUCUGCAUCCAGACAAGACACAAGCUAUUUUCACUCCCUGUUCACACUCAAAGGCACACAUGGAUGAGUUGCCAGCACACACCUGGAAAACUCCUCUGCACACUGUCCCAAAGUUUAAAGUCUUGCAGCAAGAGGAAAGGACAAAAAGGCAUUUUGAACAUUGUACUGCUCCCUUCACGUGCUGUGUGGAGCCAGAGUCAUCCACAGCUGGGGAUGAAAGGAUGGGAAAAGCUCCAGCCCUGUAGCAAGUGACACAGCAGUGGUGACAGCCUGGCACUGAGGGUCACCCACUGUCACACACACAGAGAUGUGCCCUCAGAAAACAGGAUCUGGGUAAACAACAGACCUAUUUUUUCUUCCGUUUGUGCCCCCGAGAAAGACAGGAAGAACUAAAAUACCCAUCUGAGGUUCUGUGCAUGUCAGUGGGUAAGGGCCACGCUGCUGGAGCGUUUGGCUCCAUGGGAGCAGCUUCAGCCUCCAACACUGCAGCCAUAUGGAACUCCCAGCUCAGCCCCAGCACACCAACAGAUGUGCCAAGAGCUGAAGGGGGCAAAAAACCUGGGUUCCAGCACACAUUUCAUUUCUGACUAACCAGGAAGGACUUGGGGAGGAAGUUGGGGCCAAUUACUGAGGAUGAGGAGUGGAGGAAAGAGGGUUUUUCGAGUUCUUGUCUUCCCUUUUAAGUACAUCAAGCAUUGCAGGCAUUUCUCACACGUGCUUUGCACCCAGGAGCAGUGCUGGCAUUAGCCAGAAACCACUGUGUAGAGGUUAAAGCUGCACUGACCCUAAAAUGAAAAAGCCUAAUCCAUUGUAAAUAUCCAGAAGACCCUCAAGUCUGUCACAACCCAGUUUUUAAGGAGUCUGUCUCUGUGGUAUGGUCUCUAAUCACAAUUACAGCAAAACACUGAUUAGGAUGCUCAUGGGAACAGCGUAGGAAACAAAUAUCAAAUUGUCCUAACAAAGUAGCUGAACACAUUUAUGAGGAUGGUAUUGCUUUUAAUUAGUCUUAAUUUCCAAAGAAUUAUUGCUUGCUUAAAAAAAACCUUUAUGGAUCCAUGAAUUAUUGAGUACAAGAUUCUCCCCCUCUCUCCUACUGAUACCCGAGAGAGCAGUCCCAGCAUAACUCACCAGGGAAUUUGCUGUAUUUGACUGCAAGAAUGAUGCUCAUUGUUCCAGUGUAUUCAGGAUUUUUGUUAUAACUCCAAAGAUUGUAUCAGUUCUUGCAGAGUGAAUAUGGAAAACAAGUCCCAAUCUGGAUUAACCACCACGAACAUGUUGUGUUUGUUAGAAUUGAUCUGUGUGUUUGUACACAGAAACACAUGUGCACACAUUGGCUAUAUACACCUAUGCAAUUUUAUAUCUAAUUUUAAUCAGAUUUCUAGUCUCCUUCCUGAAAUACAAUAAUGCAAAUCAAGCCAUUUGUUUCCCUCUUUAUAAAGUUAAUGUGACCCUACUAGUGUCAACUUUGAGAAGCAGUGCAGACCCAGGUAAAUGGACUUGUUUAGGGAUGUUAUAUCCAUAUUAUUCUGGGCUGAGCCUCCUGUUGUUUCUCCUUCCUUCCUCAAAAAAAAAAAAAAAAAAAAAACCACAUAAAACCAGCCCCAAAUUUCAGCUCCAAAAGCAGCAGAGAAUCUGUCCUUGGUUAUGGGGAUUAGCACUGCUUAACUUUCAGCCAUACAUAUUUGGAAUUCCUCAAUAUUUGCGUCCUGUCACACUCUUUGUGGAGCAGAACUCCUAUCCAGGGACUCAAGGACUGUGGUGCCCGCAGUGCAUUCACAGACUCUGCAGUGGGAACCAGUCUGAGGUCCCACCAGUUGCCUCCUGAACUGGAAUUCCAGAGUGUUGGCUCGGGGCUGAGGGUUGUCCUGGGCAUACCAGCACUUCCAGAGACAUCAGCUUUGGUGCCCCUUGCUGAGGACCCUGCUGUGCAUUUAAACCUUUUCUCUCGGGAGGAAAUACAACAUUUUACAGAGGGCAAAGUCUCUCUCCCCUUCUGUGCUCUUGUUCUACCUCGUGAGGACCUGGGGGUGGUGGGUCCCAGUCUCCUCUCCAUCAGCUCCCUACAGUGCUCACACAGCUUUUCCUUCCAGCUGGAGCUACCAGCCUUCAGGAUGAGAGUAUGACUGGGUGUUUUAAUGCCUAGGGAGAUCCUCAGGAAGUUGUAAGAGGGAGUAUCUGGCACAUCCCAUCUAUCUGGGUCACUAUGGACACUGUUAUUUCAGAUUAUAGCUGGUUAUGGAAAACGUGCUGGCCCUUUUCUAACACCAGUGCCCAAUUCCGUGACAUCCCUGGGACUUUUACAGGAGCAGGGCUUGUCUGCACUGAGAACUUUACCAUAAUAGUAGAGAACAUACUGUUAGACCUGCAGUACUGUAACUACACUGGCACUUCUGUAACUUUUCCCAAGCAAACAGACCCCCUUUCUCAGUCCCUAUCAUUCUCCAUUCUGCUGGUCCUGUCCCAUUGGAGAAAUUCUUCUGGAAAUCCUAAGAAAACCUGCAGUGCAGUGAGAGUUUGUAACCAGAGCUUCUGCAAGACCAGGUGUUUCAGGAUUUGAUUUGUUUCCUCAUGGAAGAUACAGGAAAAAUCCUCCUCAGCUGAUUUCUGCUGGGGCCUGAUCUGUGGCCUGUUAAUAAGCAACUUAUUGCCAAAAUUACAUCUUUACAUCCCAAGCUGUCUUGCUUAGGUUGGAUGUACUGUUGAUGGAAAGAUCAACCUGCCAGAAUCAGGCUUUCAACAUGCAUAUUUGCAGGGAGAAAUUCAAAGUUCCCUUUGCAUUGAUGUUCUUGGAGCUUCAGACUUGCUGCUGUAGCAGCUACCACUAAAUGCUACCAAAUCAGUAAAUCUGUUUAUUGGAAUAGUCAUACAGAACUGCAGCAAUGAGGCACAAACAUAAUCCAAUUCAAACCUCUUCAGAGCAGGAGGAAAUAAACAUUCAGCUCCAUGAAACCUGAGUAAAGAGAGGAGACCUUAAGGAUGUCUAUGGUGAAGAACAGGCCAUCCAGGAGACAAAUAAAUCUUGGCAAGAACUCAACAGGGACAGGAAGGUGAAUGGGAUUGUCCAAGGCCCUUGAUUCAAGACACAUCCUUCCAUCAGCUCCCUAAAAUGCUCAGCAGCAACAUCUGGAACCCCCAUCCAAUUAUAAGAUGAAAUGCAGGAGGAUCAAAGAGAGACUUUCCCAGCUCUCAUGAGAACAAGCUGGAGCGUGGGAUAAUUAGCAGCUCCCAAGCACCUCUCCCUCAUUAGCAUUUUCCCUGGCUCCCCUCCUGCGUGUGGGGAGUCCCCUUUGCCUCCAGAGUACUGAGUUCCCCUCCACAUGUGUCUCUCUUCACUGCCUGUACCAGGAGUUGCCCUGGCAUAUCCUAGAUUUUAGUGGUCCUUUAGCCUUUUGGGACUGGUUGGGAGCGGGGAUGAGGGGGAGAGAAAAAAAGAGUUCAGGAGCUCUGGGGAUCCCAGACAUGCAGGGGGACACUGAGAGAGAAAUACUAAAUAAUAACUAAUAUUUACUUUGCUUCUGGUUUUUUCCUUGUGUCCAGGGAGUUCUGACCAGGAUGAGAGAGGUGUAAUUAACUGUGAGAAGAACUUUUGCUUGCUAGUUCCCACUUUUUUUUGACCUGGCUAACAUACCCUGCCAGCAGCACAGAAGGUUUAAGUCUGAAAGGCACCUUAACAAUCUGUCAAGGAACAAGACUGAAUUAUGAGUUGUUUGCCCUUGCAGAAGAAAUGUGGGUUGCCUGCCUGUCACUUGUGGGGAGCCUGGAGUUGCAUCAAUGCAUUGGGUUUGAGUGCCUGUUCUUCCCAAGAAGAACAGCAGGCAGCAACUGUCCUCCAGCCAAGGGACAGACCAGAAGGGAAAGCUGAGCCUGGAAUCCCCAUCACAAACAGGAGCAAGGCCAUUUUCCCCACAUGCCAUGGCAAUUCCCCACAAAUCAGGGCACUUCCUUCUGACAAGUCAACCAGCUAAUCAGGCCUUUCCCUGAUUGCAUUGGUGUUCCUGUCCCAACAUGCAGAGCAGUCACAGUGUCACAAUCCCAGGGACAAAAUCCAUGGGGGGGACCCCUGGUCACACCAGCUACUGCCAAAGGAAACAAACUGAUUGGGCACAUCAGAAAUCUGCAUGCAAGGAAACAAGCAGGCUGAAAUAAGGGCGAAAUGUUAAUGAAGGUCUGGAAAGCACUGGGAAAUCCUCAGAUUAAAGGUAUCCUAGGAACACAACACAGCCGGUAACAGCAGAUAAGGUCAGCCCAGGGACUGCAUUCAAUUUUAUCUUAAAAAAUCCAACUUUACAUACAGUGACUCAACAAAAAAAUAUAAUAAAUGUAAAUCUUGUAA